UUAAAAGUAUUUUCAUUACCAUCGAGCUAUAAUCGAUGGACAGACCCCCUAUGGGGAAACCUCUUAUCAUAUGGUAAUUUAUAUACCGAGCCUGCUAUGGCUGAGUGCCUACGAGCGAGCCCAGUUGGUGAGAUACAAAGCCUAGUAUGGCCGAGCACUUAUGAGCGAGCCUACUACGGCAGAGCAUAUAUAUAUGUAUACCAUGUCUUAUUGGGCCAGAUGACUAUUUUAUUGACUAUACUGAGAUAGUUGAGUCAUUAUCAGCAUUUGAGCAUAUCUUCAGAUUUUCUUUGACUCCCAAUUGUUUUCAGUUAUUAUAUUAUUAGUUAAGUUUCAGCUUCAGUAUAUUGCCUUACAUACUCGGUACAUUGUUUCGUACUGACGUCCCUUUCUGGGGGUGCUGCAUUUCAUGCGUGCAGGUUUGAACAUACAGACGAGUAGAUCUCAUCAGUAGGUGUAUUCCCGAGUUUAGCCUUAUUGUUAAGCUCCCCGUCUUUUGGAGUUGCCAGGUCUAGCAGUUUGGAGUAUGUCACGCCCCAUGCCUAGGGGCGAGACUGGCACUCAGUGCCUCAACUAUCCUUGCGUAUCACCUGUGAAUCCGAGACUUUGAACAUGUAAUGUCAUAUUUUUGGCCAUGGGCUGCAAGAAAAUGUACGAUGUAAAAUAUAAAACUAAAUAGAGACUAACGCUGACUAACCAUCAACAUAAGGCUGGGCCGGCAAGGCCCUCAUAUUUACUACAACUGACAAGCCAACAAAAUAUACGUACAGGGCCUACCAGUCCAACAUACUGUAUUAACUGACAGGACAUAUCUACAAGCCUCUAAUAAUAGAUGUAUAAUGAUCGGAACAAGGCUCCAACCUACCCAUAACCUAUCUACAUAUAUACACAAGAUACACACCACACUGCUAGCCCGGUAACUCCGAAAGAAGGGGAGCUUACCGAUAAAGCUGAUCUCGGGCAACACCUACUGAGGAGGUCUACCCGUCUGUCUGUCUGACCCUGCAUGCAUGAAAUGCAGCAUCCCCAGAAAGGAACGUCAGUACGAAAUAAUGUACCGAGUAUGUAAGGCAAUAUACUGAAACUGAAACUGAACUGAUAAUAUAACAACUGAGAACAACUGGUAGUCAAAGAAAACUCGAGGAUAUGCUCAUCUGAUAAUACUGACUUAAUUCUCUCAAUAUAGUAAGUAAAAUAACUGUCCGACCCUAUAAGGCUCGGUAUACAUAUAUAUCUGUUCUGCCGUAGUAGGCUCGCUCAUAAGCGCUCGGCCAUACUAGGCUCUGUAUCUCGACCAACUGGGCUCGCCCAUAUGCGCUCGGCCACAGUAGGAUCGUCAUAUAACUUACCAUCUGAUCAGAGGUUGCCCAAUAGGGGCCUGCCCAUCGAUUAUAGCUCGAUGGUAAUGAAAAUACUUUUAAUACUGUAUAUAUAAACUCUCUGCUCUCUUGACUGGAAGAAGGAAAUACUCAACUGAAUAUGAAAUCCUGAUAAGGAAAUAUUAUAACUUACAACACUAGAAAAAUAUACGCAAUUUGCGAGACUAGCAAAAUAUACGUAAAUUUUGGGAUAUGAAUGUAAUGACGAGAUCAUGACAAAUGAAAAGAAAGAGCUUAGCCUUAAUAUAGAAGAGCUUAUCCUUAACAUACCUGUAACAAGUAAGCACAGAAUAUAUCCUGAAAUCAAUAUUUUGUACCAGCUAAAACUUCCCGCCAUAAUCCCAUACGGAUCGCUACUGAAGAAAUCUCCAAGAACUAAUCAUAAACCCGAAAUGCUUGAGAAAUCGAAGAUGAUAAUUACUCAAGUCAAGUCCAUGUUGGUGUCCGAGCUUAGUUCUGAGACGAUUGGUAAUGUCGAGGACAUAGCUGAUUUUUCCAAUGAUGUUUUCAACACGUUGAAUUGGCUCGGUGCUGAUUAUGAUUGUUUCUAUAGAGAUGUGAAGGAAUUGAUUUAUAAUAAAUAUGAAUUGCAAAUUGAAGAGAGGAAAGGCGUGACUAAUUUAGCGUCUAUAUCAUUACUGAUUAGGCAUCCAAAAAAAUGUUGUUUCAAUC
rnacentral:lncRNA from 1 species